rnacentral:tRNA from 1 species
GCCCGGGUGGCGAAACUGGUAGACGCAAGGGACUUAAAAUCCCUCGGGGGUGACCCCAUGCCGGUUCGACUCCGGCCCCGGGCACCA